CCUACGGGAGGCAGCAGUGGGGAAUAUUGCACAAUGGGGGAAACCCUGAUGCAGCGACGCCGCGUGAGCGAUGAAGUAUUUCGGUAUUGACAGCUCUAUCUGCAGGGAAGAAAAUGACGGUACCUGACUAAGAAGCCCCGUCUAACUACGUGCCAGCAGCCGCGGGAAUACGUAGGGUGCAAGCGUUAUCCGGAUUUACUGGGUGUAAAGGGAGCGUAGACGGUCCUGCAAGCCAGACGUGAAAGCCGGGGGCUCAACCCCUGGACUGCAUUUGGAACUGUAAGGCUAGAGUGUCGGAGAGGCAGGCGGAAUUCCUAGUGUAGCGGUGAAAUGAGUAGAUAUUAGGAGGAACACCAGUGGCGAAGGCGGCCUGCUGGACGAAGACUGACGUUGAGGCUCGAAAGCGUGGGGAGCAAACAGGAUUAGAUACCCUAGUAGUC
rnacentral:rRNA from 1 species